GUAGGUGGCAAGCGUUGUCCGGAAUUAUUAGGCGUAAAGCGCGCGCAGGCGGUUCUUUAAGUCUGAUGUGAAAGCCCACGGGCUCAACCGUGGAGGGUCAUUGGAAACUGGAGAACUUGAGUACAGAAGAGGAAAGCGGAAUUCCACGUGUAGCGGUGAAAUGCGUAGAGAUGUGGAGGAACACCAGUGGCGAAGGCGGCUUUCUGGUCUGUAACUGACGCUGAGGCGCGAAAGCGUGGGGAGCAAACAGGAUUAGAUACCCUGGUAGUCCACGCCGUAAACGAUGAGUGCUAAGUGUUAGGGGGUUUCCGCCCCUUAGUGCUGCAGCUAACGCAUUAAGCACUCCGCCUGGGGAGUACGGCCGCAAAGGCUG
rnacentral:rRNA from 1 species